GCUCCCGCCGGCCUUUGUAGACCCCGAAGUUUCUGCAACCAAGCUCUUCAGACCCACAUCCCUUCUCCCAGUGACUGAACAGUCCCAGCUCCAGCUGGAGAAGGGUGUCUGCAGACCCCGCUGUUGCCUCCCAGGGGAGUCUCCAGGCCCAGCUCUCGCCCCACCGCGACCUCCCAGGCCCAAGUCCCUGCCUACCUCCCAGCAGCCCGCGUGCGACCCUGCUCCUCCCUCACGGUGGCCUGUUGAGGCA
rnacentral:lncRNA from 1 species